GUCCAGUAUGGGUGGUAGCCUCCCCUGUCCAGACCUUUAGGGUCCAGUAUGGGUGGUAGCCACCUCUCCUCCCCCUGUCCAGGUCUUUAGGGUCCAGUAUGGGUGGUAGCCACCUCUCCUCCCCCUGUCCAGGCCUUUAGGGUCCAGUAUGGGUGGUAGCCUCCUCUCCCUCUCCUGUCCAGACCUUUAGGGUCCAGUAUGGGUGGUAGCCUCCUCUCCUUCCCCCUGUCCAGGCUUUAGGGUCCAGUAUGGGUGGUAGCCUCCCCCUGUCCAGGCCUUUAGGGUCCAGUAUGGGUGGUAGUCUCCCCUGUCAGACCUUUAGGGCCCGGUACAUGAUACCAGAAUGUAGUUGUAAUCCUGUCUCUGGAAUCCAGGUCCGAUCCCUCCCCUGUCCAGGCCUUAGGGGCCAGUAUGGGUGGUAGCCACCUCUCCCUCCCCUGUCCAGACCUUUAGGGCCCGGUACAUGAUACCAGAAUGUAGUUGUAAUCCUGUCUCUGGGAUCCAGGUCCGAUCCCUCCCAGGCACCGUAGACGACCAGAGUCUGGCAAGUGACGGAGCCGACAGCGACCGCUUCAGUGGGAGUGUCUCCGCUUCCUGGCCAAUGAGAAGCUCAUGUCUAUGGACAGCAUGAACAGUGAUGUCACAGAUGACGAUAUCGACGUGAACGACCUGCAGGAUGAAGAUCUGGACCGUUCUUAAAACAAGCUGGUUAGCCUGCCAUGCAGAGAGGACGGGUGGAGGGACAGGGAUACCUGUGGCUGACCAGCCAGCCAACCAAUACUAUUCAUCUCAGCCCAGUUCCACAGAACCACAGAAGAAAGAUACCAGUUCCUGGAUGACUAUGAUCAGGGUUUUCAGAUGCCUGACUGCGGCUGGCUGCUACAGGGAUGGACUCGUGUCCUGGUAGUGAUGAGGAGGACACUGAGGAUAGCUGGAGGCAGCUAGGGGAACACUUCUACCAGACACAGACUACUGCUGUCCAGCACCUCCCGACA